rnacentral:rRNA from 1 species
AUGGCGGCGGCUCUCGGCUCGGCGGCCACGCUCCUCGGCAAGGUGUUCACUAUGCUGUCCGCCGCCCCGGUGGCGGCGUACGUGGACAGCCUGGAGCUCGGCCACAACUCCCAGCAGAUCAGGGCCAAGCUCGCGCACACGCGAGGCCUGCUGCACAACGCCCAAGCCCAGGUGAGCGACGUCGGCCACAACCCUGGACUGCAGGAGCUGCUGCCGGCGCUGAGCAGGAACGCCGACGAGGCGGAGGAUCUGCUGGAUGAGCUCCACUACUUCCAGAUCCAUGACAGGCUCCACGCCACCAACUACGCCGCCACCCAGGCCAAUUUUCUCCGUCAUGCUCGCAAUGCUCUCCGCCACACUGCCACCAGCAGCUGGGCCGCAUGCUUUUCUUGUUCCUCUGCACAAGAUGAUAGUGAUUCUACCAGUGGGGAUGAUGAGUUACGUUUCCACCGAGUGAUCUUCUCCAGAAAAUUCAAGUCGGUGUUACAGGACAUGCAGACGCACUGUGAUUCCGUCUCUGAUUUGCUUGGCAAUAUCCCAAGCAACAGCAUGCCAGUUGCUGUACACCGGCCGCAGAUUGGAUCCACAAUUAUACAAGAUACAUUGUAUGGCAGGAGACACACUUUUGAGGAAACUGUCAACCGUAUCAUCAGCUGCAAACACCCUGUUUCUGUUCUUCCUAUAGUUGGUCCAGGGGGUAUUGGAAAGACAACUUUUGCUCAACAUCUGUAUAAUGAUGCAAGGACUGAAGAGCACUUCCAAGUCAGGGUCUGGGUGUGUGUAUCCACUGAUUUCAAUGUGCUUAAGCUCACCAGGGAGAUCCUUGCCUGCAUACCUGCAACUGAAGAAGGAGGAAGCAGCAGUGUUGCAAAUGAAACAACCAAUUUAGAUCAUCUUCAGAGAUCCAUUGUGCGCCGUCUCAAGUCCAAGAGGUUUCUAAUUGUCUUGGACGAUAUAUGGAAAUGUGACAGUCAGGAUCAGUGGAAAACCUUGUUAGCUCCCUUCACAAAGGGGGAAACCAAAGGAAGCAUGCUACUUGUCACAACUCGAUUCCCAAAGCUAGCACAAAUGAUGGAAACAAUUGAUCCACUAGAGCUGCUAGGUUUGGAGUCUAAUGACUUCUUCACAUUCUUUGAAGCAUGUAUAUUUGGUGAAGACAACAAGCCAGAGCAUUUCGAAGAUGAGUUAGCUGGUAUUGCACAAAAAAUUGCAGACAAGCUAAAGGGUUCCCCGCUGGCAGCCAAAACAGUUGGUAGACUAUUGCACAAGGACCUUUCUCAGAAACAUUGGAAUGGAGUUCUUGAAAAGGGUGAGUGGCUAAAGCAGCAAAAUAAGGAUGAUAUCAUGCCAUCUUUAAAGAUUAGCUAUGAUUGCCUCCCUUUUGAUCUGAAGAAAUGCUUUUCCUAUUGUGGCCUUUUCCCUGAAGAUCAUAGAUUCACUUCUUCAGAAAUCAAUCAUUUCUGGGUUGCAAUAGGCAUCAUAGACUCUAAUCACCAAGGCGAUAGGAAUUACUUGGAAGAACUAGUGGACAAUGGUUUUCUCAUGAAGGAAUUCGAUUGGCGUGGUCAAUGCUGGUAUGUAAUGCAUGAUUUAAUGCAUGAGCUAUCUAACAGUGUUUCUGCACAAGAAUGCCUCAACAUAAGUGGCUUAGAUUUCAGUGCUGAUGCCAUCCCGCGAUCUGUCCGACACUUAUCUAUCAAUGUAGAAGACAGAUAUGAUGCAAAUUUUGAGGAAGAAAUGUCUAAAUUAAGGGAGAAGAUAGACAUUGCUAAUGUGCGGACUUUGAUGAUUUUUAGAGAAUAUGAAGAAGAAAGAACCGCCAAGAUAUUGAAAGAUAGCUUCAAGGAAAUAAAUAGUCUGCGUGUCCUAUUUAUAGUGGUGAAGUCUGCACAAUCUUUUCUGGAUAUGUUUUCAAAACUUAUCCACCUCCAGUACCUCAAAAUUAGUUCACCUCACAUUGACAGGGAAAUGAGGUUACCUAGUACACUAUCAAGAUUUUAUCACUUGAAAUUCCUGGACCUAGAUGAUUGGAAUGGUCGUUCUGAUUUGCCUGAAGACUUUAGCCACCUUGAGAAUUUACAUGAUUUCCGUGCUGGAAGUGAACUCCACUCCAAUAUUCGCAAUGUUGGAAAGAUGAAGCAUCUACAGAGGCUAAAAGUAUUCCAUGUCAGGAAGGAGAGCAUGGGAUUUGAACUGACAGAACUUGGGGCAUUGACAGAGCUUGAAGGAGGACUGAUUAUACGUGGUCUUGAACACGUGGCAACCAAGGAGGAAGCUACUGCAGCCAAACUGGUGUUGAAAAGGAACCUGAAGGAGUUGGAAUUACUCUGGGACAGAGAUCAACCAACUACAGAUGCUGAUAUUCUUGAUGCUCUUCAACCACACUCUAAUCUUAGAGUACUUACAAUUGCAAAUCAUGGUGGUAUGAUUGGUCCUAGCUGGUUGUGUCUUGACAUCUGGUUGACAAGUCUAGAGACUCUCACUCUAGAAGGCGUAUCUUGGAGCAACCUCCCACCUUUUGGGAAGCUACCAAAUCUCAAGGGCCUCUAUUUGAAUAAAAUUUCUGGAAUGCAUCAGUUUGGGCCUCUAUGUGGUGGCGCUCCAGGGAAAUGUUUUAUGCGCUUGAAGAAAGUUGGGUUUUAUGAGAUGCCAGAACUUGCUGAAUGGGUUGUGGAACCUAAUUGCCAUUCCUUUCCAAGUCUUGAAGAAAUCGAGUGCUUCAGUUGUCCCAACCUCCGUGUGAUGCCCUUCUCUGAGGUGAUUCAGAAGGGUUGCGUUAUGAUGGAAAGAAAUUGGUUGUUAGUGGGUAUGGCGGUGCUUUGGCCUCCCACAAUCUGGAUAAAGUAG